CGAUAUCAAUAAGCGGAGGAAAAGAAAAUAACAAUGAUUCCCCUAGUAACUGCGAGUGAAGAGGGACAAGCUCAAAUUUUAAAUCUGUUCGGUUCUACCUGACAGAGUUGUAAUUUAAAGAAACGUUUUCUGUGUCUUGAGUUAAUCAAAAUCCUAUGGAAUGAGGUAUCAUGGAGGGUGACAAUCCCGUUCAUGGUUAAUUCUAAGAUGCUUUAUGAUGCGUUUUCGAAGAGUCGAGUUGUUUGGGAUUGCAGCUCAAAAUGGGAGGUAAAUUUCUCCUAAGGCUAAAUAUUGGCGAGAGACCGAUAGCGAACAAGUACCGUGAGGGAAAGAUGAAAAGAACUUUGAAAAGAGAGUUAAACAGUACGUGAAAUUGUUGAAAGGGAAACGAUUGAAGUCAGUCGUACCAGCGGGAAAUCAACCUUUCGAGUGGGGUUUUGGAGUUUUGAAGUGUGUCAAAACCUUGAAGAUUUCAAAAUGUUCGCUCUUUUGGUGUACUUUCUCGCAGGUAGGUUAACAUCGAUUUUGAUUCAUCAUAAAAGGAUUGGAGGAAUGUAGCUUCGAUCUCGUAUUGAAGUGUUAUAGCCUUUGGUAAAUGUGAUGAUUAGGAUCGAGGAUUGCAACGAAUACCCUUUUGGGCUAUCCGCCUGAUCUCUGAUACGUGACCUUGGUAUUGAAAGCGUGCUUAUGAUAUUAAGGUAUUACGGUCAAAAGGUUAGAACGGAUUACAUUCGUUAAGGAUGUUGACGUA
rnacentral:rRNA from 1 species